AACUAGCCUUAGCGAGGCCAUGGGGGAAAAAGUCUAACUGGCGGAACUCCUGGGAACUGGGGCGAUGGGCUCUUAGUAUCGGAGGAUUGGAGCCAUCUGAUUUUUACCUGAAAUUCCUUAGUCUCUCCUGUGUUGGGGAAAUGAGACCGGGACUUGCUGUGUUGCCCAGGCUGGUCUUGAACUCCUGGUCUUAAGCAAUCAUACUGCUUUGGCCACCCAAAGCACUGGGAUUACAGGCGUGAACCACCACACCCAGCUCUUAAAACCACAGUAUUUCUAGGACUGCACCAAGGGGCAAUGCAGUACUGCAGCCUUCCUCUGACUCAGUUUGGAUUCUCUCUGUCCGUUCUCACCACACUACUAAGGAGAGAACAGUGCCAGGCAGGGGAAGGAGAGGUACCUGAAGUUCUUUCUCCAGUUGAGCCUGAAGCUCUUCCAUCCCCGAGGGCAGCACUAGCCUGGAGGGCAGAGAGGUCGAGCGUCUCAACAGCAUGGGGUUGGCACCAUUGAGGAACUGGUAGCUGAACAACUCAUCAUCCUGCCAGCACUGGCGAACC
rnacentral:lncRNA from 10 species